UUGGUUGUUCGUGCAUCAGAAAUUCGCAAUCUUCCCGCAUCGUGAUUCUUCGUCUGCCCCCUUUAAACUUCCAUCUCUUUCCCUUUCAAUGAAAGCUUGUCUGCAUUUGAAGAGUUGCUACAAAGAUCGUCUAAAAAGAGUUUUGGAGUAUGUUGACAAAGUGAAGGAUUAUGACGACCUGAUCAGUCCCAAUAGCUUAUCCUUUCACUUCCUUGGUCCAGAACCUUCUAGUGGUGCUUUACAACGUUUGGAGGGAGUCUUCAGAGCAAGAGGUGUUGUUUAAAAAAGGGUGGUGAUUUGGAGAAAUCUUUUGUUCCUCCUGUUGUUCAAAAAGUUUCUGAAGUUCCUUCGUCCUCCCAAACAUUUUCUAUAGAACAACUCACUCCUUCACUUCGAUCUUUCAAAGGCCAAGAUAAGGGGAAGUUCAUCUCUGACUUCUGGAAUGAUCCUGGUUUAGCCGUGGCUAAGGCUCAUGACGUAAUCUCGACGGACAAAUUAUGCGUUUUUCGUCCAUUGAAUCUCGUGAUUUGGUUACCCAGCAUCUCCACAAGAAUGUUUAAAGUCUACGUACAUGAUAGCCAAUUGCUUGGACAUGGAAGAGAAAUUAGCUUUGGUGCAAGCUAAGGUUAAGAACCUUUCUAUUGAAAAUGCUUCCUUCCUUUCUUUCUUUUCUGUGGUGCUUGUAAUGAAUUGGCUAUAUGUUUUCUUCUAGUUAAAACUUACCCUCAUCUGAAAAGUCGCAAUAAAGAUCAUCUAAAGAGAGUUUUAGAAUACGUGGGUGAACUGAAGGAUUUUAAGGUUUCUGAAGAGUAUUCGAACAGGCUCAUGGUUGAGUAUGCUGACGGUUUUGAGCUUCUUCAAAAGUACCUCAUCAAACAUCAUCCUGACUUGAAUUUCUCUUUGCUAGAGAUAUGGAGGAGAUUGAAAAGGAGAUGCUGAUCGUGGAGGCCGAAGUUGACAACAUAGUUGCUGAAGAUGCCAAGGUGGACGUUGCUGAGAAUGUCGCCCCUGUCACUGACAAUAUUAAUCUAAAAUAAAAGCAGUUGUUCCUUUAUUUCUCAGGCUCAUAUGUUUUGAGCAAAGAUAAUAUUUCUUUUUUAGGCCUGUAUAUUUUGGGCAUAAGACAAUAUUGCUGCCUUCUUCUGUUUUUAAGACUUUCUUGUCACUAGAUGUUCUAUGCUUUUUUCUUGCUUGAACCUUGCGAAUUUGUGGUAAUAUAUCUGCUUCGUCUGUAA